UUAGAGAUAAAAUCUGAAUUUGGAGUUAAGCUAGUAGUAUAAUUUUACAUGUUGGACUUGGAAUUAACUUAGAAGAAAACUAUAGAUUCUACACUGUCAUUUUCUGAAAAAUAUCAGAUUUAGUUUUAGGAGCUGUUGUUUGUUUGUAUCAUCGCAGUUAGUAUGCGGUGGAUAUCCAGUUAGUGUAGGAUGAGUUUACACUCGUGCUGGGAUGCCGAGUUUAUUUUACAGUAAUGUGUAGAUUGUUCCGGACUGUUGGGUGCUGUCGCGGUGGGCGGUGGAUGGUGGACCUAGAUUUCUGUAUUUGCAUCAGAUUGUGCCAAGAGCACGUGAAUUUUGGUUGUUAGACCAGUUAGACCCAUUUAUUUUGAUUACAGCCUGUGAGAGUCUGAUUGAGCUCGGUAGAGACACGCUUGCAUACUCGGUUGGGU
rnacentral:lncRNA from 1 species